GACGAACGCUGGCGGCGUGCUUAACACAUGCAAGUCGAACGGAAAGGCCCUGCUUUUGUGGGGUGCUCGAGUGGCGAACGGGUGAGUAACACGUGAGUAACCUGCUCUUGACUUUGGGAUAACUUCAGGAAACUGGGGUUAAUACCGGAUAGGAGCUCCUGCUGCGUGGUGGGGGUUGGAAAGUUGCGGCUGGUGGGGAUGGACUCGCGGCUAAUCAGCUGGUUGGUGGGGGAGUGGCUUACCCAGGCUUGGACGGGUAGCCGGCCGGAGAGGGUGGCCGGCCUCAUGGGGCCUGCGAGACGCACCAGAGUCCUACGGUAGGCAGUAGGGGGGAAUAUUACACAACGGGACGACGCGUGAGACAGCAGCGCCCCGUGCGUGAUGACGGCCUUCGGGUUGUAAACCGCUUUCGCCUGUGACGAAGCUUGAGUGACGGUAAUGGGUAAAGAAGCACCGGCUAACUACGUG
rnacentral:rRNA from 1 species